AACGCUGGCGGCGUGCCUAAUACAUGCAAGUCGAGCGGAUCAAAUCGGAGCUUGCUCUGAUUUGGUCAGCGGCGGACGGGUGAGUAACACGUGGGCAACCUGCCCGCAAGACCGGGAUAACUCCGGGAAACCGGAGCUAAUACCGGAUAACACCGAAGACCGCAUGGUCUUUGGUUGAAAGGCGGCCUUUGGCUGUCACUUGCGGAUGGGCCCGCGGCGCAUUAGCUAGUUGGUGAGGUAACGGCUCACCAAGGCGACGAUGCGUAGCCGGCCUGAGAGGGUGACCGGCCACACUGGGACUGAGACACGGCCCAGACUCCUACGGGAGGCAGCAGUAGGGAAUCUUCCGCAAUGGGCGAAAGCCUGACGGAGCGACGCCGCGUGAGCGAAGAAGGCCUUCGGGUCGUAAAGCUCUGUUGUGAGGGACGAAGGAGCGCCGUUCGAAGAGGGCGGCGCGGUGACGGUACCUCACGAGGAAGCCCCGGCUAACUACGUGCCAGCAGCCGCGGUAAUACGUAGGGGGCGAGCGUUGUCCGGAAUUAUUGGGCGUAAAGCGCGCGCAGGCGGUUCCUUAAGUCUGAUGUGAAAGCCCACGGCUCAACCGUGGAGGGUCAUUGGAAACUGGGGGACUUGAGUGCAGGAGAGGAGAGCGGAAUUCCACGUGUAGCGGUGAAAUGCGUAGAGAUGUGGAGGAACACCAGUGGCGAAGGCGGCUC
rnacentral:rRNA from 1 species